GAUGAACGCUGGCGGCGUGCUUAACACAUGCAAGUCGAACGGGAAAUAUUUCAUUGAGACUUCGGUGGAUUUGAUUUAUUUCUAGUGGCGGACGGGUGAGUAACGCGUGGGUAACCUGCCUUAUACAGGGGGAUAACAGUCAGAAAUGGCUGCUAAUACCGCAUAAGCGCACAGAGCUGCAUGGCUCAGUGUGAAAAACUCCGGUGGUAUAAGAUGGACCCGCGUUGGAUUAGCUAGUUGGUGGGGUAACGGCCCACCAAGGCGACGAUCCAUAGCCGGCCUGAGAGGGUGAACGGCCACAUUGGGACUGAGACACGGCCCAGACUCCUACGGGAGGCAGCAGUGGGGAAUAUUGCACAAUGGGGGAAACCCUGAUGCAGCGACGCCGCGUGAAGGAAGAAGUAUCUCGGUAUGUAAACCCCUAUCAGCAGGGAAGAUAGUGACGGUACCUGACUAAGAAGCCCCGGCUAACUACGUG
rnacentral:rRNA from 1 species